rnacentral:rRNA from 1 species
AGUGAACGCUGGCGGCGUGCCUAAUACAUGCAAGUCGAACGGAGUGGCGCACGGGUGAGUAAUAUAUAUCUAAUCUGCCCCUUGGUGGAGGACAAAAGAUAGAAAUGACUGCUAAUACUCCAUAGCAAGGGAUGAGACUAUAUCGUAUCAGCUCGUCGGUGGGGGAACGGCCUACCGAGGGUCUGACGCGGAACUGGUCUGAGAGGAUGAUCAGUCACAUGGUAACGUAGACACGGUCCAAACUCCUACGGGAGGGAGCAGAAGGGAAUAUUGCGCAAUGGGCGAAACCCUGACGCAGCAACGCCGCGUGGAGGAUGACACUUUGCGGAGCGUAAACUCCAUUUGUUAGGGAAGCGGUACCUAACGAAUAAGCACCGGCUAACUCCGUGCCAGCAGCCGCGGUAAUAC